GGAGACGAGUACAAGAGAGUGAGAUAUGCACCGAGGGGUUGCUGGCCCCUACGGGCGCUUGUGAGGUCAGUGGGAGAGCCGCUGGGCCGGCCUGGGAAGGUUUGGGAACUGGAACUAUACUACUUGCUUACCAAGGGGGCAGGAUGUCAGGGGAGGUGGUCAGUCAUUGCCAAGGUCAAGCCUUCACCAGUUCUUCUACCUGCUAGGGUGACUACGGGGGCCCACUUGCCUGCUAUACCCAUGACUGCUGGGUCCUACAGGGACUUAUCAUCCCGAACAGAGUGUGUGCACGGCCUCGCUGGCCAGCUAUCUUCACACGUGUGUCUGUGUUUGUGGACUGGAUUAACAAGGUCGUGCAGCUGGAGUAGGCCUGCUUUCGAUCUCUUAGAGAUGACAAGGCUGCUUAUCAAACUAAAGCAAACUUUUCUCU
rnacentral:lncRNA from 1 species